rnacentral:rRNA from 1 species
UAUUAUUUAAUUAAUUAAAUUCUUAAAGGUAGUAGUUUUUAUAAAUUGAAAUUUAAUAAAUUUGGCAGUAUUUUAUUCUAUUUAGAGGAAUUUGUUUUAUAAUUGAUAAUCCACAAUAAAUUUUACUUAAUUUAAUUAAUUUAUAUAUUGUUGUCAAAAAUUUAUCUUUAAAAAGAAUAAAAUUUUUAAAAUUUAUUUUAUUAAAAUAUGUCAAAUCAAAAUGUAGUUUAUAAUUAAGAAAAUAAUGAAUUACAAUAAAUUUAUUUAUAUGGAAUUUAAAUUGAAAUAUUUAAAAUAAAGUGGAUUUAAUAGUAAAUAUAAUAAAAUAAUUAUUUUGAAAUUAUUUUAAAAUAUGUACAUAUUGCCCGUCGCUUUCUUUUAGAAUAA